rnacentral:rRNA from 1 species
CCUACGGGAGGCAGCAGUAGGGAAUCUUCCACAAUGGGCGAAAGCCUGAUGGAGCAACGCCGCGUGGGUGAAGAAGGUCUUCGGAUCGUAAAACCCUGUUGUUAGAGAAGAAAGUGCGUGAGAGUAACUGUUCACGUUUCGACGGUAUCUAACCAGAAAGCCACGGCUAACUACGUGCCAGCAGCCGCGGUAAUACGUAGGUGGCAAGCGUUAUCCGGAUUUAUGGGGGGUAAAGGGAACGCAGGCGGUCUUUUAAGUCUGAUGUGAAAGCCUUCGGCUUAACCGGAGUAGUGCAUUGGAAACUGGGAGACUUGAGGGCAGAAGAGGAGAGUGGAACUCCAGGGGUAGCGGUGAAAUGCGUAGAUAUAUGGAAGAACACCAGUGGCGAAGGCGGCUCUCUGGUCUGUAACUGACGCUGAGGUUCGAAAGCGUGGGUAGCAAACAGGAUUAGAUACCCCAGUAGUC